GAUGAAGAACGCAGCGAAAUGCGAUAAGUAAUGUGAAUUGCAGAAUUCAGUGAAUCAUCGAAUCUUUGAACGCAUCUUGCGCUCCUUGGUAUUCUGAGGAGCAUGCCUGAUUGAGUGUCAUUAAAUUCUCAACUACACUGACUUUGAAUUGGUGUGGCUUGGAUUUGGGGGGAAAAUUGUUGUGGGCUUUUUGUAUAGUCUGCUCCCCUGAAAUUGAUUAGCGGUACCUUUGUGGAACUGUCUACAGGUGUGAUAAUUAUCUACAUCUUAGACAUCUGCUGGAAUGCUGCUUUCUAAACCUUACUUGUAUUGACAAUCUUGACCUCAAAUCAGGUAGGACUACCCGCUGAACUUAAGCAUAUCAAUAAGCGGAGGA
rnacentral:misc_RNA from 1 species